rnacentral:lncRNA from 1 species
AUAACGGCCUGUCAGCCCCUAAGAAGAGAUGAAGAAAUUUAUCUCCCCCCACCUUGUUAGAGAGAUGGGGGUCUAUGAUGUGCAAAUCAAGUCAGAACUUUUAUUAGUAUUCACUGUCAUUAGCUUUUAGGUUGGCUUUGCCCAUUUUUAUUUUUGCAAUGAAAAGCUCAUUGUCUAGGGAUUUAGAUGUGCCAAGUGAGAGAACAUGAGGGGUUUGUUCAGAGGAGUAUAAUCAGAACAAAUGAUUAUGAUGUAAGGACAAAAAUAAUUGAUGUAAAGAGUGGGAAAAAAAUCAAUCUAUCAAGACUUAAACUAUUAAUCUUUUCCUAUACAACAACCUAACAGGUCUUUGUUUUGCUAUGAUAAAAAAAAAAAUAACUGACAUUUUUAUGAUAAAAUAUAAUAUGUGGCCCUCUAUAUUAUCCAAAGACCCCUUCAGACGAUGAACAUAUUGGCAAAGGUGAUUAGCUUUUGUUCAUAUACUAAAGCCUGAGUUAAAGAAACAGGAAAAAAGCAAACUUUUAGGAGAGAGAUAAUUAAAUGAGAUUGAGACAUUGUCACUGAGAAAAAGAUUGGGGAGAAUGGACAGGGAAUUGGCAAAGAAACACCCAAACCAAAAUGUUCCUAUUUCCUAAUCUUGUUCCUUCCCUACUUUAAACCUCUACAAGCCCAGGGACAAGACUGGGUUUUCUAGAAAGUUCCCCUGCCCUGCCCACUUGACUAUAGCCCUGCCUAAUGCCAUCACCUUCUAUGACAUCAUGGGGAUGGAAUGAAAGUCCUGAGCGAGAGGCUUGAGAAUAUGCAGGUCGGACAGGAAGGCAUCAUUUGGAAAAGAAAAGCGGUGUUAUCCAGAAGAGUUGGUGCUGCUUCUGUGGAGAAAAAACAGAGCUUUGAUGAUCAAUUCAAGAAUCAACCAAAGGAACCAGUGAGGGCUAUGGGACUAUGGUUGAGAGAGAACCUGGACACCCUUCAGGAGAGAAUGGAACAAGAAGUAAGGGCCCUGGAACAACGGGUGAAAGACCUGGAAGAAUGGCUAGAUUAUCACUUACGGGAUCUAGGGCCAGAUGAAAAGUGUGUAACCCUCACGAAUCACUUAUGA